CAUGGGCACAGCGGCUCACCUCACCUGUUUUUCUCUCGUCGUCCUCCCUGUUCGGAGCCGACUGCUCUUUUUUUCAUGCACGCACCAACAUCCUUGACCCGCGCGAACAAGAGACACGCCAAUGGCCGAGGCGCUGUCACCUCUUGCCCCCUCCAGCGUGGUGGGGCCGUCCCGCAGCUGUAAGACUCCGUGCCAGCAAGCGCGCAUUGUCUCCUUCUUCUCGCGUCUCCGCUCAAGGGUGAUGCUUGAGCAUGACUGGAGCGGCGGAGUACUGGCGGUCCUUGCGCUGCUUGUCGUCACCGCCUGCGGUGUCAUCUCGAGCUGCGACGUCUGCGGCCUUUCUAUUGUGAAGCAGGUGAUGGCGCCGAGCGAUCGGUCUGACGGGGGUGUUCCGGAGGCCACUGCGGUAAGAUCGUCGCCAUCCACAGCAACGGAGACGCCGAUGCUCGAGCUUGACGACCGUCCGCGAGGUGCAGCGGCGGGGAAGGCCAAUAAGUACGUGGAGGAGUUCUACCAGGCGGCCGGUCACUUGCGGUGCCCACAGCUGCAGCGCUACACACAGGAGGAGGUGGCGCGGCACAGGACGAAGGAUGACUUGUGGAUUGUAGUGGACAGCAAUGUGCUGAACGUGAGCGCGUUUGUCCCGCACCACCCUGGCGGGGACGUGAUACUGGAUGGCGUCGGUGGGCAGGACAUGGCGACGGUGUUCGCCUACUUCCACGACCCCUCGACUGUCCGACUUAUGUUGAGCUUCUGCAUUGGUCGCAUCCUGUUGCAGUGAGGUGGGCGUGGCGGUGCGUCGGUCGCACUCUCGCCUCUCGCUCCUGCUUUCGCAGAUGACACGAAAAGGACGCAUCAGAAAGGCGUUGCAUGUGUGUUCCCGCGUGCCGACACCUCUUCCUCACCUCCUUUCCACUGGUAACUCGGUGGGCUUCAGCUGGGCCACGUGCACCCCCUCACUCU
rnacentral:misc_RNA from 1 species